rnacentral:rRNA from 1 species
CACGUAGGGCGCAAGCGUUGUCCGGAAUUAUUGGGCGUAAAGAGCUCGUAGGCGGCUUGUUGCGUCGGCUGUGAAAACCCGCGGCUUAACCGUGGGCUUGCAGCUGAUACGGGCGGGCUGGAGUUCGGUAGGGGAGACUGGAAUUCCUGGUGUAGCGGUGAAAUGCGCAGAUAUCAGGAGGAACACCGGUGGCGAAGGCGGAUCUCUGGGCCAUUACUGACGCUGAGGAGCGAAAGCGUGGGGAGCGAACAGG